CAGUCGCGCGGUAAUGCGAAGGGUGCAAGCGUUAAUCGGAAUUACUGGGCGUAAAGCGUGCGUAGGUGGUGGUUUAAGUCCGUUGUGAAAGCCCUGGGCUCAACCUGGGAAUUGCAGUGGAUACUGGGUCACUAGAGUGUGGUAGAGGAUAGUGGAAUUUCCGGUGUAGCAGUGAAAUGCGUAGAGAUCGGAAGGAACAUCUGUGGCGAAGGCGACUAUCUGGGCCAACACUGACACUGAGGCACGAAAGCGUGGGGAGCAAACAGGAUUAGAGACCCCUGUAGUCCCUGUCUCUUAUACA
rnacentral:rRNA from 1 species